GUUACAGGCAUGUACACACACACUCAGUUAAAGGCAGUCACACAUACAGGCACAGGCACAAACAAUGGCACAGCUACAGCCACACACACAGACAGACAGUCACAUAGGCAGUCACACACACAGACAGACACACAGUAACACACACAUAGACAGUUAUACACACACAGGCAGGCAGUCACACAGAUAGAAAGUCACACACAGGCAGGCAGUCACACACAGACAGAUAGUUACAGAC